AAACUUUGACAACCCAGUGUACCAGAAG
rnacentral:piRNA from 1 species